GGCGAACGGGUGAGUAACAUAUCGGAACGUACCUAGUAAUGGGGGAUAACUAGCCGAAAGGUUAGCUAAUACCGCAUACGCCCUGAGGGGGAAAGCGGGGGAUCGUAAGACCUCGCGUUAUUAGAGCGGCCGAUAUCUGAUUAGCUAGUUGGUGGGGUAAAGGCCUACCAAGGCGACGAUCAGUAGCUGGUCUGAGAGGACGACCAGCCACACUGGAACUGAGACACGGUCCAGACUCCUACGGGAGGCAGCAGUGGGGAAUUUUGGACAAUGGGCGCAAGCCUGAUCCAGCCAUUCCGCGUGAGUGAAGAAGGCCUUCGGGUUGUAAAGCUCUUUCGCAAGGGAAGAAACGAUGCAGUCGAAUAAACUGCGUUAAUGACGGUACCUUGAUAAGAAGCACCGGCUAACUACGUGCCAGCAGCCGCGGUAAUACGUAGGGUGCAAGCGUUAAUCGGAAUUACUGGGCGUAAAGCGUGCGCAGGCGGUUUUGUAAGUCAGAUGUGAAAUCCCCGGGCUCAACCUGGGAACUGCGUUUGAAACUACAAGGCUAGAGUGUAGCAGAGGGGGGUAGAAUUCCACGUGUAGCAGUGAAAUGCGUAGAGAUGUGGAGGAAUACCAAUGGCGAAGGCAGCCCCCUGGGUUAACACUGACGCUCAUGCACGAAAGCGUGGGGAGCAAAC
rnacentral:rRNA from 1 species